GAUGAACGCUGGCGGCGUGCUUAACACAUGCAAGUCGAACGGGAAACCUUUUAUUGAAGCUUCGGCAGAUUUAGCUGGUUUCUAGUGGCGGACGGGUGAGUAACGCGUGGGUAACCUGCCUUAUACAGGGGGAUAACAACCAGAAAUGGUUGCUAAUACCGCAUAAGCGCACAGGACCGCAUGGUCCGGUGUGAAAAACUCCGGUGGUAUAAGAUGGACCCGCGUUGGAUUAGCUAGUUGGCAGGGUAACGGCCUACCAAGGCGACGAUCCAUAGCCGGCCUGAGAGGGUGAACGGCCACAUUGGGACUGAGACACGGCCCAGACUCCUACGGGAGGCAGCAGUGGGGAAUAUUGCACAAUGGGGGAAACCCUGAUGCAGCGACGCCGCGUGAAGGAAGAAGUAUCUCGGUAUGUAAACUUCUAUCAGC
rnacentral:rRNA from 1 species